rnacentral:rRNA from 1 species
GACGAACGCUGGCGGCGUGCCUAAUACAUGCAAGUCGAGCGAAGUUUUUCUGGUGCUUGCACUAGAAAAACUUAGCGGCGAACGGGUGAGUAACACGUAAAGAACCUGCCUCAUAGACUGGGACAACUAUUGGAAACGAUAGCUAAUACCGGAUAACAGUAUUUCUCGCAUGAGAGAUAUUUAAAAGUUGGUUAUGCUUACACUAUGAGAUGGCUUUGCGGUGCAUUAGCUAGUUGGUGGGGUAAAGGCCCACCAAGGCGACGAUGCAUAGCCGACCUGAGAGGGUGAUCGGCCACACUGGGACUGAGACACGGCCCAGACUCCUACGGGAGGCAGCAGUAGGGAAUCUUCCGCAAUGGGCGAAAGCCUGACGGAGCAACGCCGCGUGAGUGAAGAAGGAUUUCGGUUCGUAAAGCUCUGUUGUUAGGGAAGAAUGGAUAUGUAGUAACUAUACAUGUAAGAGACGGUACCUAACCAGAAAGCCACGGCUAACUACGUG